UGGGGAAUCUUGCGCAAUGGGCGAAAGCCUGACGCAGCGACGCCGCGUGAGCGAUGAAGGCCUUCGGGUUGUAAAGCUCUGUGGGGAGAGAAGAAUAAGGGUUGGCUAACAUCCAACCUGAUGACGGUAUCUCCUUAGCAAGCACCGGCUAACUCUGUGCCAGCAGCCGCGGUAAGACAGAGGGUGCAAACGUUGUUCGGAAUCACUGGGCGUAAAGCGCAUGUAGGCGGUUUGGAAAGUCGGAUGUGAAAUCCCACGGCUCAACCAUGGAAGUGCAUUCGAAACUGCCAGACUAGAGUCCUGGAGAGGAAGGCGGAAUACUGGGUGUAGAGGUGAAAUUCGUAGAUAUCCAGUGGAACACCGGUGGCGAAGGCGGCCUUCUGGACAGUGACUGACGCUGAAAUGCGAAAGCGUGGGGAGCAAACAGGAUUAGAUACCCGAGUAG
rnacentral:rRNA from 1 species